UGGGGGAUAUUGCACAAUGGGCGAAAGCCUGAUGCAGCGACGCCGCGUGGGGGAUGAAGGCUUUCGGGUUGUAAACCUCUUUCGCUAUCGAACAAGGCCCGCUUAGGGUGGGUUGAGGGUAGGUGGAGAAGAAGCGCCGGCUAACUACGUGCCAGCAGCCGCGGUAAUACGUAGGGCGCGAGCGUUGUCCGGAAUUAUUGGGCGUAAAGGGCUUGUAGGCGGCUUGUUGCGCCUGCUGUGGAAACGCGGGGCUUAACUUCGCGCGUGCAGUGGGUACUGGCAGGCUGGAGUGUGGUAGGGGUGACUGGAAUUCCAGGUGUAGCGGUGGAAUGCGCAGAUCUCUGGAGGAACACCGAUGGCGAAUGCAGGUCACUGGGCCAUUACUGACGCUGAGGAGCGAAAGCAUGGGUAGCGAACAGG
rnacentral:rRNA from 1 species